rnacentral:rRNA from 1 species
GACGAACGCUGGCGGCGCGCCUAACACAUGCAAGUCGAACGAGCGAGAGAGAGCUUGCUUUCUUGAGCGAGUGGCGAACGGGUGAGUAACGCGUGAGGAACCUGCCUCAAAGAGGGGGACAACAGUUGGAAACGACUGCUAAUACCGCAUAAGCCCACGGUGCCGCAUGGCACCGAGGGAAAAGGAGCAAUCCGCUUUGAGAUGGCCUCGCGUCCGAUUAGCUAGUUGGUGUGGUAACGGCCCACCAAGGCGACGAUCGGUAGCCGGACGGAGAGGUUGAACGGCCACAUUGGGACUGAGACACAGCCCAGACUCCUACGGGAGGCAGCAGAGGGGAAUAUUGCACAAUGGAGGAAACCCUGAUGCAGCGACGCCGCGUAGAGGAAGAAGGUCUUCGGAUUGUGAACUCCUGUUGUUGGGGAAGAUAAUGACGGUACCCAACAAGGAAGUGACGGCUAACUACGUG